rnacentral:rRNA from 1 species
AGCCUGAACGCUGGCGGCGUGGCUAAGACAUGCAAGUCGCACGGACGUAGCAAUACGUUAGUGGCGAACGGGUGAGUAAUGAAUCGCUAAUGUGCCCCGGACUCUGAGAUAGCUAUCCGAAAGGGUAGGUAAUAUCAGAUGAUAUGCAGCGGUCGCAUGACCGUUGCCUCAAAGGUCCGCCGGUCUGGGAGCAGGCGAUUUUGUAUCAGCUAGUUGGUGAGGUAACGGCUCACCAAGGCGACGACGCAUAGCCGGACUGAGAGGUUGGCCGGCCACAUUGGGACUGAGACACUGCCCAGACUCCUACGGGGGGCUGCAGUAACGAAUCUUCCGCAAUGUACGAAAGUAUGACGGAGCGACGCCGCGUGUAGGACGAAGCCCUUCGGGGUGUAAACUACUGUCAGGGGUUAGAAAGUUCUGAUCAACCCCAGAGGAAGGGACGGCUAACUCUGCGCCAGCAGCCGCGGU